UACGGGGGGGGCAAGCGUUGUUCGGAAUUACUGGGCGUAAAGGGCUCGUAGGUGGCCAACUAAGUCACACGUGAAAUCCCUCGGCUUAACCGGGGAACUGCGUGUGAUACUGGAUGGCUUGAGUUUGGGAGAGGGAUGCGGAAUUCCAGGUGUAGCGGUGAAAUGCGUAGAUAUCUGGAGGAACACCAAUGGCGAAGGCAGCUCGCUGGGACGUUACUGACGCUGAGACGCGAAAGCGUGGGGAGCAAACAGG
rnacentral:rRNA from 1 species